UCUGGGCACGGUGGCGCGCGCCUGUAGUCCCAGCUACUCGGGAGGCUGAGGUGGGAGGAUCGCUUGAGCCAGGAGUUCUGGGCUGUAGUGCGCUAUGCCAAUCGGGUGUCCACACUAAGUUCGGCAUCAAUAUGGUCACCUCCUGGGAAUGGGACCCACCAGGUGGCCUAAGGAGGAGUGAUCCAGCCCAGGUCAGAACCAAAGCGGGUCAAAACUCCCAUCCUGAUCAGUAGUGGGAUCGCGUCUGUGAAUAGCCACUGCACUCCAGCCUGGGAAACAUAGCAGACCACGUCUCUG
rnacentral:SRP_RNA from 13 species